rnacentral:rRNA from 1 species
UACGUAGGGUGCAAGCGUUGUCCGGAAUUAUUGGGCGUAAAGGGCUCGUAGGCGGUCUGUCGCGUCGGCUGUGAAAACUCGGGGCUCAACCCCGAGCCUGCAGUCGAUACGGGCAGACUGGAGUGUGGUAGGGGAGAUCGGAAUUCCUGGUGUAGCGGUGAAAUGCGUAGAUAUCUGGAGGAACACCGGUGGCGAAGGCGGCAUUCUGGACCAUAACUGACACUGAGAGACGAAAGCCAGGGGAGCAAACGGG